rnacentral:lncRNA from 1 species
UCUUUCCACUCACUCUGAGUUUUUUCUUUGUGGAAUGCAGGCAAAGGCCCUUUCAUCUGGACCAGCCCCCACCUGCAACGGCCCCCCAGCAUGCAUUCCCUCUCCCUCAGUCCCUUUCUUUCCUCCUCCCUUUGGACAACAGACAAUAAGAAAUGUAGCAAAAGGCGGAAAUAUGCAGAGAUACAAGCUCAUGAAAAGGAGCACAUGGAAGACUUUGGGCUUGCCAGUUCUGGUCACAGGAAGAAAUGGAAAGAACAGAAGGAACACAAAGCCAUGAGACGAAAGGCAUCGGCAUUCGAAAUUCAGCUGUGAGCCUACCCCUUGCCAGGUCUGUGCUGGGUGCUAUGGUGGAGCCAUGAGUAAGGCACGUCCACUGCCUUGAGAUGCUCCUGCACCGCAGGAGAGAUGAGUGUGCAACCAAUGGCAGCGCUAGUUAUGUGGCCAACGAUGGACACUUGUGCUCGAGGACUCGACAAAUUCUGCCCGGCUAAGGGAUAGGAAAGGGCUCAG